rnacentral:rRNA from 1 species
GAUGAACGCUGGCGGCGUGCCUAAUACAUGCAAGUCGAGCGAACAGACGAGGAGCUUGCUCCUCUGACGUUAGCGGCGGACGGGUGAGUAACACGUGGAUAACCUACCUAUAAGACUGGGAUAACUUCGGGAAACCGGAGCUAAUACCGGAUAAUAUAUUGAACCGCAUGGUUCAAUAGUGAAAGACGGUUUUGCUGUCACUUAUAGAUGGAUCCGCGCCGCAUUAGCUAGUUGGUAAGGUAACGGCUUACCAAGGCAACGAUGCGUAGCCGACCUGAGAGGGUGAUCGGCCACACUGGAACUGAGACACGGUCCAGACUCCUACGGGAGGCAGCAGUAGGGAAUCUUCCGCAAUGGGCGAAAGCCUGACGAAGCAACGACGCGUGAGUGAUGAAGGUCUUCGGAUCGUAAAACUCUGUUAUUAGGGAAGAACAAAUGUGUAAGUAACUAUGCACGUCUUGACGGUACCUAAUCAGAAAGCCACGGCUAACUACGUG